UGGGGAAUAUUGCACAAUGGGGGAAACCCUGAUGCAGCAACGCCGCGUGAGCGAUGAAGGCCUUCGGGUCGUAAAGCUCUGUCUUCGCUGAAGAAUUUUGACGGUAAGCGAGGAGGAAGCCACGGCUAACUACGUGCCAGCAGCCGCGGUAAUACGUAGGUGGCAAGCGUUGUCCGGAAUUAUUGGGCGUAAAGGAUGCGUAGGUGGUCUUUUAAGUGAGAUGUGAAAUCCCUGGGCUUAACCCAGGAACUGCAUUUCAAACUGGAAGACUAGAGUGCAGGAGAGGAAAGUGGAAUUCCUAGUGUAGCGGUGAAAUGCGUAGAGAUUAGGAGGAACACCAGUGGCGAAGGCGACUUUCUGGACUGUAACUGACACUGAGGCAUGAAAGCGUGGGGAGCAAACAGGAUUAGAUACCCUGGUAGUCCACGCCGUAAACGAUGAGUACUAGGUGUAGGGGGUCGAACCUCUGUGCCGCAGUUAACACAUUAAGUACUCCG
rnacentral:rRNA from 1 species